UACGUAGGGGGCAAGCGUUGUCCGGAUUUAUUGGGCGUAAAGCGCUCGCAGGCGGUCCGAUGCGUCGUGCGUGAAAGACCCCGGCUCAACUGGGGAGGGUCGUGCGAUACGGUCGGACUCGAGGCCAGUAGGGGGACGCGGAAUUCCGGGUGUAGUGGUGGAAUGCGUAGAGAUCCGGAGGAACACCAGCGGCGAAGGCGGCGUCCUGGACGUCGUACGUGACGCUGCGGACG
rnacentral:rRNA from 1 species